CACGCACUUGCACACGCACAAGCACCGUAUUUAUUAACACAAAAAACAGUGCGAAUAAACUCAACAAUCUCAAGAAAGCCAACCUUUGAUUUCAUGUGCUCAGUUGUGCAGAUUAGCUCCUGCUUACAAAAAAAUUGACAGAAGUAGUUGCAACUUGAAGAUUCAGCCUCCUUCAAGUAUCUAGAAAACAAAUGGAACCAAAGCCUUGACCUCCCCAGGGAAGUUUUCAAAUUUAGAAAGAUACCAUUUUCUGGUGACGAAACUCCUUCCGGCCAAGUACAAAGCCACGCCCAAUGCGCAUGACAGUGACAACGC